UAGGGAAUCUUCGGCAAUGGACGAAAGUCUGACCGAGCAACGCCGCGUGAGUGAAGAAGGUUUUCGGAUCGUAAAACUCUGUUGGUAGAGAAGAACGUUGGUGAGAGUGGAAAGCUCAUCAAGUGACGGUAACUACCCAGAAAAGGGGACGGCUAACUACGUGCCAGCAGCCGCGGUAAUACGUAGGUCCCGAGCGUUGUCCGGAUUUAUUGGGCGUAAAGCGAGCGCAGGUGGUUUAUUAAGUCUGGUGUAAAAAGGGCAGUGGCUCAACCAUUGUAUGCAUUGGAAACUGGUAGACUUGAGUGCAGGAGAGGAGAGUGGAAUUCCAUGUGUAGCGGUGAAAUGCGUAGAUAUAUUGGAGGAACACCGGUGGCGAAAGCGGCUCUCUGGCCUGUAACUGACACUGAGGCUCGAAAGCGUGGGGAGCAAACA
rnacentral:rRNA from 1 species